rnacentral:rRNA from 1 species
UGGGGAAUCUUGCACAAUGGAGGAAACUCUGAUGCAGCGACGCCGCGUGAGCGAUGAAGCCCUUCGGGGUGUAAAGCUCUUUCGACGGGAACGAUAAUGACGGUACCCGAAGAAGAAGCUGCGGCUAACUACGUGCCAGCAGCCGCGGUAAUACGUAGGCAGCGAGCGUUGUUCGGAAUUACUGGGCGUAAAGAGUGCGUAGGCGGUGCUCUAAGUCUGUUGUGAAAUCUCCCGGCUUAACUGGGAGGGUGCGGCGGAAACUAGAGUGCUAGAGUGUGGGAGAGGUAAGCGGAAUUCCUGGUGUAGCGGUGAAAUGCGUAGAUAUCAGGAGGAACACCUGUGGUGUAGACAGCUUACUGGACCACGACUGACGCUGAGGCACGAAAGCGUGGGUAGCAAACAGGAUUAGAUACCCUGGUAGUCCACGCCCUAAACGAUGCAUACUUGGUGUGAGCGAUUCAUUUCGUUCGUGCCGGAGCUAACGCGUUAAGUAUGCCGCCUGGGGAGUACGGUCGCAAGGCUG